ACAAAAAGGAAGUAACAGAAAAAACAUUUGAGAGUGGUCAUGUCCAGAAAAAAUCCAGAGUAGCAUGCAACAAACAGCAGGACAUGAAUAAGGUUACUCUUACAGUGGAAUGCAAUUGCCAUUCUGGACUAGAUUAAUAAUUUAUCCAGUCUAGUCUUUUUUAUUAUAGUAGAUACUAUCAGUGUUUUAGGAAAAAUUGCCAGAGGUUACUGAAUCGGUAAUUACUGGAGAGACCAUUUUUCUUAAUAAAUAGGAGUUCAAAUCUGUUUCUUUUUUUUUUGCACAUUAACCCUAUGGAUGUUCUCAUUAGCUAUGCUGUAGAGCCUUUCUGAGCCCCCCAAGUGCAGGGGGUUUUGAUCUUUUUCUUCAUUUGUUUGAUUGUUUGUUCUGUCUUGCAGCAUCUUGUCCCAAAUGUCUACCACGUUGUAAGAAAUAAAUUCUUUUUAUCUCCUUUGCAAUAUACAUGACUUUGUCUUGUCCCAGUCAUUCACUCCUUUUACAUGCUUUCUUGCUCCUUUCUUUAUUUAAAUAGUCCAAAUUUACUCCAAUUAUUCUCAUUAUGUCUGUCUCUCAAUAUGUCUUUGCCAUCAGUUAGAUGAAGGUAGUUGUGCCUCCUUUGACCUGUGGCUUAACUGUGUUUUCCUCUAUUCUUUGUGUCUCCUCAUAGAGGUGUUACUAGAUUUGGACAGUCACAUUAAAUUGCUUCUUAUCUGACUUUACGGGACUAUAUUUUCAGAAUUUUACCUUUUUUUUUUUUAGGCGAAUGAGAGGUUUUCUCCUUGACUCAAUUUCUUUUCAUCACUGGACAGAGAUAUUCUCAUUCAUCAAUAAACCUUCACUGUUUUUCCUCAUAGGUUUUUUUCAUCAUGAAGUUGUCUGUUGUCUCACCUGGAAAGUAAUGGUGUUCCACCUUGCUCAAUACUGAUAGGAUUUAACUUCAUGUCAAGCAUGUUUAAGAGAAGAGAGCAAUUACAAAACUCAGUGAAAUCCAGAAUAACGUGAAUAAAAGUUUAGCUGUUGAGAUAGUCAAGAACUGAAUUUUUAAAGACAAAAAAGGUGCACAGAAGAAAGAAAAGGAUUCAAAAGGAAAAUGGCACUUCAGGCUGUCAGUCAUGCAAAUGUUUCUAUAGCCAGUCUCCUCCUCUUCAACAAGCUGUUUUCUUGUCAGAUAUCCCUCCUCCUUGUGCACAAAUGAUUAUUUUCCUCUUCAUCGGCUGCUUUACCCACUUUAAAGGUGUGCAACUGGAAGUGACAGGAUAGUGACUCAGCUGGAAGUGGAGACUGAGCGAGUGACCGUGAGUGAGUGAAAUAAACUCACAGGUCUUGUGCCUCUCACACCGCCUCCCACUCUUUUGGUGACACAACACAGCCAAGAAGACAGUGAGUGGCACAGGAGGUCACAGUCUGCCGUCAGUCACCACAUCCCAGGAGCAAGGACGACCUUUCGAGGCCAGCCUUGCUGAUCCAGAGAAGGUAUUAAAAAAAGAACUUUGUGAGCUGAUAAAGCAUCACACAACAGGCUUCUCUAUAUCCUCAGAUAGCUGAUGUUCAUUUCAUUUGAACAUGCUUUCAUCGAGGACAUAAGUCUUUCCUUUUCCAUAUACGUGCUUCUACUCCACAUUGUGGAGGCAAGUAGGGCUAGCUGGCUUGUGGGGUGCUUUUCAGUGCAAAUAAAAACACUGCUCUAUAGCUUUACUGGAUCACCAGCAUCUCUCAAACCUUAGAUAUGGCUUAACUUUCAAGUAGUACCAGAGGGCAUUUAUA